UAUCAAUAAUUGAAGGUGAGAUUGAAACUAUGACCUUGGCAGGUAGUGCAGAAGAUUUGCUGAAGUUGUUUAAUAGUGUGAGCUAUUUUUUAGAUUACGGAGUGUUUUUAAACUAUAUUAAAAGUAAACUUCUUUUCACACUCUUCAGGGGCCUGGGAACAGGUUCAUUUGUUCAACAAACAUGUCACUUAUUCAACAAUCAGUACUAUGAAAGUAGAGGAAAAGAGUGAAUUGAGGAAGUUUCCAGUUGCCCUUCACACUGACUCUCCUUGGCACGUUGCUGCUGAUGGGUCCAUCCUUGGCCUACUUACCAUGGUGUCGCACAGUUAUGAGGACAGUUCUAAGUCUGUCUCUGGAUAAAUGAUGUACCAGGCCCUAGUGCAUACAGACCUUCACCUGAAUCACAGGGGGUAUGUUAAAAUGGCUGCAAGCCAGAUACACAGUCAGUAUCUAAAUGGAAGGACUGGAAAUCUGUGUUUCCACAAGCUCCCCAGGUGAUUCUCAGGCUAACUAAAGUCUGAGAAUUAAAGCAUCAGAAAUUGUGCCUAGAAGCCUGCCUUUGUAAGUUAAUAGAAUGAUCUUGGAUGAUCUAUUUAACCCCUCAGUACCUCAGUUUCCUCAUCUGUAAAAUGGCAGAUAAUAACAGUGUCUACCUCAUGGGAAUAGUUUUAAGGAUUAUGUAGUUAUUAAUUAAAAGAUGUUAAAUGCUUAGACCAGUGCUUAGAGGUGCUAUGUAACUGUUUUCAAUUAUUAUCACCAUUAGUUCUAGGAUUGCUUAUAGCUGGACACUCAGCCUGUACGGCUUUCCCUAUGAACCUUCAGCUGUGCCCAGUUUCAGGGCUCAGCAGGGUGUCUGAAGGCAAGGUCUCUUGUCUUGUGCUUAAUUGGGAGAGGAUGAGCAGGGGGCAUAUUGUGAAGCAAGGGGGCUCAGAGAGCUCUGGGCAGUAGACGUGGUGAUUGAGGCCAACUUUCGUUUAAGUCUCAAUACUGCCCCCUCGUGGCAGUAUAAACUAAGGCCGGAGCCUAUUUCCGUUACCUGUUAGACGGAAGUGAAAAAAUUAAUGGCUACUCCCUUUCAUCUCUUCAAUUUUGCCUUUUUUUUAACGAAUCGUUAAAAUAGGGACAUUUCCUGUUAACUUGACUUUGGUAUUGUGUUCUCUGACCCAAAAUUGGGAAACCACGCUGAAGGGUGAUUCCACAAUGAGCUGGUCAAUCUUGGCUAUCACCUUCCUCCAAGUUAUAUUGUGGGAGGCUAAGUAAAGAAUUAGGAGAGAAUGGAGAGGCGGAGAGUUCUUUGGAGAUAGAGUGUUAGUGUGCAGAACGUUCCCUCCUGUCCUGUCUUCUGCCCCUUCCUCCUCUCAAAGCUGAGUGGGAAGGGGCUUCACACAAAGAUCAGGAAAGCUUGACGUAUGGCUAGUGAACUUUAGGAGGGAGAGGUACUGGGAUGUGGCUCAACCAGAGAAAAUCCCAGGCCCAUAGCUACAUGAAGACUGGUCUCUGUCCUCAAGUUGCUUACAGUUUGCAGGUGCUACACCAAUGGGUAUCAUUUGUAUCUCACAUAGGCCCUUCGUGGCCUUCCUCCUGAGGCUUCCUGACUUCCCACAGCUGCCCUGCUUUGUUCCCCGACACACCAGGACACAGCAGCCGGCAGGAGCCAGAGACCAAUCAGUAUUUGAUAAAGAUAAAUCUGUGCUCAGAACUGGAACAGAUGUUUAGCCAAUUAGGAAAUGAAACCCUCUGUUGAAGUAGUUCUGCUUCCAUCUGAGGACUUUGGAUUGAGCUGUUAAAAGGACUCAUUUCUUCAAAAAUGCUUUGCAGAAUCUAUCAAAGCAAGGUAAGAGGUUAGGUCAUUUGCUCUAGAUAACUCAGUUACAAUGUGGCUUCAACACAAUUACCAUUCACAGAUGUAUAACAUCACAAAAUCUGAAUGUUCUAGAAUGGAAGGGACCUUAAGGCUGUUUUUCACACCUAGUGCAAAAAUUCCUCUGCAACCUGGUUACUCAGAGUGUGGUACCUGGACAGCCUCAGCGUUAUCUGGGAGCAUUCUAGGAAUGCAGAAUACCAGCCCCCACCCUAGACCUGCUGAUUCAGAUCUCACAUUUUAAUAAGAUGCAAAGGUGAUUCACACACACAUAAAAGUGUGAGAAACACCAUUCUACAAUAUCCCUGAUCAAUGAACAGCGUGUCUUAGUUUAAACACAUGCAGGCAAGGACGUAGUUUGCUCAAUUGCAGGGUGUUCUAUUUGGGGAUACCUAUAAACAUCACAAUGCACAUUUUUAUAAUAAUAAAUCUAGUGAAUAUUUAUUGACCUUGGACCAUGUGACCUCUUCUCAAAGCUCAACAAGUAUAUGUUGCCUCAUUUAAUCCUCACAACAGCUAUUUGAGGUAAAUACUAUUUGUUUUCACUCAAUCCCCACAACAAAUAUAUGAGGGGCUAUUCUCUUCUUUCUCAUUUUAUGAAUGAGAAAGCUGAGGC
rnacentral:lncRNA from 1 species